rnacentral:rRNA from 1 species
CUGUUUAUCAAAAACAUCGCCUUUAGCCCUACAAGUAUUAAAGGUCCCGCCUGCCCAGUGAAUAUUUUUAACGGCCGCGGUAUCCUAACCGUGCAAAGGUAGCGUAAUCACUUGUCCCCUAAAUAGAGACCUGUAUGAACGGCUAACUGAGGGCACACCUGUCUCCUGGGGCAAACUAAUGAAACUGAUCUGCUGGUACAAAAGCCAGAAUACCCACACAAGACGAGAAGACCCUGUGGAGCUUAUAACCACCCCACUACCAGCCGCGCCCCCAACCACACGCACACCUGACUAGCGGGCAGUUUAAGUUGGGGCGACUACGGAGCACAACAAACCCUCCAAGAAACAUAGGACUAACCCCCCACUACCAGGCACACACGCCAACAAGAUACCCCCUUCGACCCAGUAUGACUGACCA